AGCGAACGCUGGCGGCAGGCUUAACACAUGCAAGUCGAGCGCCCCGCAAGGGGAGUGGCAGACGGGUGAGUAACACGUGGGAACGUACCCUUUGGUUCGGAAUAACUUGGGGAAACUCAAGCUAAUACCGGAUAAGCCCUUAUGGGGAAAGGUUUACUGCCGAAGGAUCGGCCCGCGUCUGAUUAGCUAGUUGGUGAGGUAAUGGCUCACCACGGCGACGAUCAGUAGCUGGUCUGCGAGGAUGAUAAGCCACACUGGGACUGAGACACGGCCCAGACUCCUACGGGAGGCAGCAGUGGGGAAUAUUGGACAAUGGGGGCAACCCUGAUCCAGCCAUGCCGCGUGAGUGAUGAAGGCCUUAGGGUUGUAAAGCUCUUUUACCCGGGACGAUAAUGACUGUACCGGGAGAAUAAGCCCCGGCUAACUUCGUGCCAGCCGCCGCCGUAA
rnacentral:rRNA from 1 species